UGAACGCUAGCGACAGGCCUAACACAUGCAAGUCGAGGGGCAGCACAAGGAGCAAUCUGAGGUGGCGACCGGCGCACGGGUGAGUAACACGUAUGCAACCUGCCUGUAAGCGGGGAAUAACCCGUUGAAAGACGGACUAAUACCGCAUAAUACUAAAUUACCGCAUGGUAAUUUAUUUAAACAUUUAUGGCUUACAGAUGGGCAUGCGCAUGAUUAGCUAGUUGGAGAGGUGACGGCUCCCCAAGGCAACGAUCAUUAGGGGUUCUGAGAGGAAGGUCCCCCACACUGGUACUGAGACACGGACCAGACUCCUACGGGAGGCAGCAGUGAGGAAUAUUGGUCAAUGGACGAGAGUCUGAACCAGCCAAGUCGCGUGCAGGAAGAAUGUCCUAUGGAUUGUAAACUGCUUUUGCAGGGGAAUAAAGUGAGCCACGUGUGGUUUUUGUAUGUACUCUGCGAAUAAGGAUCGGCUAACUCCGUGCCAGCAGCUGC
rnacentral:rRNA from 1 species